UGUAGCUAUUUAGUGUGAUAAUGGCGUUUGAUAGACAGGACACAAACACCAUUGUCACACUCCACAGCUCUGGA
rnacentral:pre_miRNA from 1 species